rnacentral:rRNA from 1 species
UACGGGAGGCAGCAGGGGGAAUAUUGCACAAUGGGCGAAAGCCUGAUGCAGCUAUGCCGCGUGUAUGAAGAAGGCCUUAGGGUUGUAAAGUACUUUCAUCGGGGAGGAAAAACAAAACUAAUAAUUUUAUUUCUUGACGUUACCCGAAAAAGAAGCACCGGCUAACUCCGUGCCAGCAGCCGCGGUAAUACGGAGGGUGCUAGCGUUAAUCAGAAUUACUGGGCGUAAAAGAGCACGUAGGUGGUUUUUUUAAGUCAGAUGUGAAAUCCCUGGGCUUUAACCUAGGAACUGCAUUUUGAAACUGAAAUACUAGAGUAUCGUAGAGGGAGGUAGAAUUCUAGGUGUAGCGGUGAAAUGCGUAGAUAUCUGGAGGAAUACCUGUGGCGAAAGCGGCCUCCUAAACGAAUACUGACACUGAGGGUGCGAAAGCGUGGGGAGCAAACAGGGAUUAGAUACC